GGUAUGAUGACAUUUAUGUGAUACGCAUUCGUGUGACGUAGGCAUCGCGCCGUUCAGUUACGUUAUCAUCAAUAACCGUUAUCAUUAAUUUUUAAUAGAUGUUUUCAUUUAUUAGUAUCCAAUUUUGUAUUUCCGUAUUAAAAAUUAUAAUAGUAAUUAGUAACGUUUAUAUUAUAAACUUUAUAACUACAGUUAACCAUUAACUGUUGAGGAAUAUUAAGAAAAUGGAGUUUGUGUUUGCGUUAAUCAACAAAGUUAUUAAAAAUGACGGAAUGAGGAGCUAUAAGGAAGUAAGGAACUGAAGACACUGUCCAAUAACAGCAAUGAGUGGAGGGAGUUUGGAAAAAUGCUAGAUACAUAGACAUAUUAAUAUGUCUAUGGCUAGAUAGGUUGCCUUUUGAAAUAUGACUUAUCCAAUUGGCCUUGGAUUCUUUAUUUUCAUCUGAUCUGUCUGAAUCUAGUAAACAAGGAUAUUUAUGUGCAAAUCGAUUUAUCAGGUACCCAGUUAUGUACUCUAUACAUUGUAUUUCUAAAUCGUCAAAUGGUUCAUUUGCUGUUUCAAAUUCUUCUAAAAGUGCCAAAUUGUCUGAUGGAAUAUUUUCCAUUGCUGUGCCAAAUGUCAACUCAAUUUCAGCCAACUCAGUGUCAUGAGUAUCUAAAGAAAACGAGUCAGUUGUACUUAUCAAUCAUAUGUUGUUGGCCACAGAACGAAAGUGCCUUUGACACUGUAUUAGAAAAUACAUUGACGGCUAACCUUACAUUCAUUCGUUCAGAUCCUUUGACAUUAAUGUGACGCUCUGUAUGUUAAACAGUUGUCAAAAAUGUUUUACCUCUAGCCACAACGGUUUGAACACACUUAUGCGGUCCAUACACUUUCUCAUACUUUUUGUCAUAGCAUAUUCUAUGAGAAACAUAAGUCUCGUCAAAUGAUAACACUGUAAUUUUCUCUUCAGAAGUUAAAUGGACACCUUUAACAUGUGGAUUUAUCAAUGUAAUGUAAUUUUUUAUUAAAUACAAUAUUCUCAUAAAUUAC